CGUUAGGGGAUGUUUUGUCCCACUCAGGAGAGGACUUUCUGUUUCCUCCUGAGCUGGGACAGACUUGAAGAAGGUGCGGUCUGUUGUACUGGCAUGGAGGAGCGCACGGCCUCCAUGUUCGGAUCAAAGUGACUGCUUAGUCACAGUCACUUGGGACUCACUUCUUUAUGGAAUAGUUCUAGUUGUUAUGUAACCCAAGCCUGCCUUCAGGGAUAUGUCUGUGAACCUGAAUGAAUCUGUAAGUAAACUACUUUUA